rnacentral:rRNA from 1 species
UAGGGAAUCUUCCACAAUGGACGCAAGUCUGAUGGAGCAACGCCGCGUGAGUGAAGAAGGUUUUCGGAUCGUAAAGCUCUGUUGUUGGUGAAGAAGGAUAGAGGCCGUAACUGGUCUUUAUUUGACGGUAAUCAACCAGAAAGUCACGGCUAACUACGUGCCAGCAGCCGCGGUAAUACGUAGGUGGCAAGCGUUGUCCGGAUUUAUUGGGCGUAAAGCGAGCGCAGGCGGAAUGAUAAGUCUGAUGUGAAAGCCCACGGCUCAACCGUGGAACUGCAUCGGAAACUGUCAUUCUUGAGUGCAGAAGAGGAGAGUGGAACUCCAUGUGUAGCGGUGGAAUGCGUAGAUAUAUGGAAGAACACCAGUGGCGAAGGCGGCUCUCUGGUCUGCAACUGACGCUGAGGCUCGAAGCAUGGGUAGCGAACAGGAUUAGAUACCCUGGUAGUCCAUGCCGUAAACGAUGAGCGCUAGGUGUUGGGGACUUUCCGGUUGCUCAGUGCCGCAGCAAAUCGCAUUAAGCGCUC